rnacentral:rRNA from 1 species
AUUGAACGCUGGCGGCAGGCCUAACACAUGCAAGUCGAGCGGAUGAAGGGAGCUUGCUCCUGGACUCAGCGGCGGACGGGUGAGUAAUGCCUAGGAAUCUGCCUGGUAGUGGGGGAUAACGUCCGGAAACGGGCGCUAAUACCGCAUACGUCCUGAGGGAGAAAGUGGGGGAUCUUCGGACCUCACGCUAUCAGAUGAGCCUAGGUCGGAUUAGCUAGUUGGUGGGGUAAAGGCCUACCAAGGCGACGAUCCGUAACUGGUCUGAGAGGAUGAUCAGUCACACUGGAACUGAGACACGGUCCAGACUCCUACGGGAGGCAGCAGUGGGGAAUAUUGGACAAUGGGCGAAAGCCUGAUCCAGCCAUGCCGCGUGUGUGAAGAAGGUCUUCGGAUUGUAAAGCACCUUAAGUUGGGAGGAAGGGCAGUAAGUUAAUACCUUGCUGUUUUGACGUUACCAACAGAAUAAGCACCGGCUAACUUCGUG